ACACGACUACAUUAGAUACCCGGGUAGUCCUAGGCGUAAAUGAUGUGAGUUAAGUNUGGGGGCAUCUACGAGAUGGCCCUGUGCUGUAGGGUAGCCGUUAAACUCGCUGCCUGGGGAGUACGGUCGCAAGGCUGAAACUUAAAGGAAUUGGCGGGGAGCACCACGAGAGGUGGAGGCUGCGGUUCAAUUGGACUCAACGCCGGAAACUCAUCGGGAGCGACAGCAGUAUGAUUGCCAGGUUGAUGACCUUGCUUGACAAGCUG
rnacentral:rRNA from 1 species